UCCGCCCCCACAUAAACCGCAACGCAAAGGCAAAAGUCACCAAUAAGGAAGAUUCCGCAGCAAAUAAGCUAAGUUAGGGGGCUAAACAAGAGCAGACAAACACCAGGUCCGCCCUGCACAGAAGGUGAGCUGAAAUGUCACACGGGAGGACCAGGAAGACGUCUACUAUUAACCUACUACUAUCAAUUCCCGGGCUGACGCAUAGCCUUCCUGCCCGCACGCGCUUGGGUCUCUGCCAACACAACCGGGGCUACAUUCUCUGUCGUAUUCCAAGCCAACGUCUACUGCUUCCUGAAUUCAAUCCAGUGAUGGAAAGCAAAUGAGGAAACACACCACGUUUAGGAAGCAAACGCGGCGUUGGAGAAAUCUGACAAGGCACAUUUACCAAGCUAGAAAUAGAAGUCAAAAUCUACAGCGUUCAGUUGCUGGCGUCUGUUCUUGGGUUUUAUUAAUGAUAGACCAAAACCGAAACAGUUGUUCACGUUCCCGUAUUGGAAAUGAAUUCCAUCUGCAUCGUUAUGAUAGCGUGUAGUAAACUGAACCAAAUGAGGAAAAUCUCGUGAGCAAAGGUGGUGACAAAUCUUUCCCCGAUUGCCAGGGUAAUCAGGGACAGGAACAUCAAAUGAAACAAAUGAACGUGCCGUAAAUAAAUCUGUCCAGUACUACUUGAAGUCUCUAGGAAGCACCACAAAAGAAAGGACAUAUUGAUGCUGCCACCACGAAGGAGGAGCCCAGUUUGUCUUGAAAAUAAAUGAGCAAAUGAACAGUAAUCUAAGCUUAGGCACAAAGUCCAAAGUUUUCAAGUGCAAAAAAUGUAUCAAAGCCCAUCUGGGAAUAGCUCUCCAGAAUAGCUAACCUAGCAUCCGCAGAAGAUUGCACUACACAAGAAGAAUGUAUCUUAAGCCGUGAAAAACCUCGGAGGAUGGGAUGGGAGUGCUUAAAUAGUUUGAAAAGUACAUUCUAAAUUUACCUUUCCUUUGAUUUCUUUUUAUUCACAAAAUUUAUUUUGAAAUUUCAAUCAUCAUUAAAGGAAAAUACAACGAUUGUAUGUUUACCAAAAGAGGGCUUAAGGUUAAAAAAAAAAAAAAAGGUAAGGUUAACAAUUACUCCAUAGGAUGGUGUCUCACACAUGUUUAGUUGUGAACCAACAACCCAAAGCUGUCACAACUUCCAGUAUCUUUGCUUGCCUCGGAACUGUUAUCCAUGGGCAAAUUAGCCUUGGCUAAACUGGCUUCUCCACGGCUAGACAGACAUUUCUCUUACCGGAAAGUAUUUGGGAAUCCCAGUGUACAAACAGCAAUUAGCAAGUAUAACAUGCUGAGGAAGUUCUCAGUCAGUUCCGUAUGGGACAAUGGUUGCCCCUUCACAAUGAAUUCAAUGGGAAGCCUGAAUUGGAUGUAUUCCAGUUUUCCAGUCCAUUUAAGUCAUCACCUUUGGGAUCAACCGUUUUUGUCUUCUCAGUAUGGCUUCAAAUAUCAUAUAGAUAUAGGUCUUAAACUCUAUAAGAAUUUAAAUAUCUGGUAGUCUAAGAAUACAUGAAACAUCUUUGGAAUAAUACCCCUAUUACUAUUUUAGAGCAUUAAAUUCAUAAUGACUCAGA